ensembl:snRNA U6 U6 spliceosomal RNA
GUGCUCUCUUCGGCAGCACAUAUACUAAAAUAGGAACAAUACAGAGAAGAGUAGCAUGGCCCCUGUGCAAGGAUGACACUCAAAUUCAUGAAGCAUUCCAUAUUUUU